rnacentral:rRNA from 1 species
UACGUAGGGUGCAAGCGUUAAUCGGGAAUUACUGGGCGUAAAGCGUGCGCAGGCGGUUGUGCAAGACCGAUGUGAAAUCCCCGGGCUUAACCUGGGAAUGGCAUUGGUGACUGCACGGCUAGAGUGUGUCAGAGGGGGGUAGAAUUCCACGUGUAGCAGUGAAAUGCGUAGAGAUGUGGAGGAAUACCGAUGGCGAAGGCAGCCCCCUGGGAUAACACUGACGCUGAGGCACGGAAAGCGUGGGGAGCGAACGGG